GGCGCAGGCGGACAGGUCAGUGGAAAGUGGAAUCCCGGGGCUCAACCCCGGAAAGCCUUUCCAUACUGCCUGUCUUGAGUACGUGAGAGGAGAGCGGAAUUCAGGGUGUAGCGGUGAAAUGCUUAGAUAUCCUGAGGAACACCGAUGGCGAAAGCAGCUCUCUGGCACGCUACUGACGCUGAGGCCCGAAAGCGUGGGAAGCGAACG
rnacentral:rRNA from 1 species